rnacentral:misc_RNA from 1 species
AAGUCGUAACAAGGUUUCCGUAGGUGAAUCUGCGGAAGGAUCAUUAACACGUAUCCAACGUUAAACAACCCUGUGAACUUUCAACCCCGCCGGAAUGAGAUUAAUUUCCAACUCCGGCGAAGACAAGUGACCUGGCACCUGACCUCAUCAAAGCUCUGACAGCGUGCCUCUGGAUGCUUAAUGGAAGGGUGACGCAGUAACGAUCGCUGGAGGCCCACACGGCCGGCGACCGGGUCAGCUGCAUUCUUUAAUGCCCCUUAAAACCACUUAACAUGACGACAGUUCCUCUUUAACUUGAGUUGAGCUAUAACAAAAAACUAAUACAACUGUUAACAAUGGAUAUCUUGGUUCUC